UGGGGAAUAUUGGACAAUGGGCGAAAGCCUGAUCCAGCCAUGCCGCGUGUGUGAAGAAGGUCUUCGGAUUGUAAAGCACUUUAAGUUGGGAGGAAGGGCAGUAAGCGAAUACCUUGCUGUUUUGACGUUACCGACAGAAUAAGCACCGGCUAACUCUGUGCCAGCAGCCGCGGUAAUACAGAGGGUGCAAGCGUUAAUCGGAAUUACUGGGCGUAAAGCGCGCGUAGGUGGUUCGUUAAGUUGUAUGUGAAAGCCCCGGGCUCAACCUGGGAACUGCAUCCAAAACUGGCGAGCUAGAGUAGGGCAGAGGGUGGUGGAAUUUCCUGUGUAGCGGUGAAAUGCGUAGAUAUAGGAAGGAACACCAGUGGCGAAGGCGACCACCUGGGCUCAUACUGACACUGAGGUGCGAAAGCGUGGGGAGCAAACAGG
rnacentral:rRNA from 1 species